rnacentral:rRNA from 1 species
GAUGAACGCUGGCGGCGUGCCUAAUACAUGCAAGUCGAGCGAACAGACGAGGAGCUUGCUCCUCUGACGUUAGCGGCGGACGGGUGAGUAACACGUGGAUAACCUACCUAUAAGACUGGGAUAACUUCGGGAAACCGGAGCUAAUACCGGAUAAUAUAUUGAACCGCAUGGUUCAAUAGUGAAAGACGGUUUUGCUGUCAUUUAUAGAUGGAUCCGCGCCGCAUUAGCUAGUUGGUAAGGUAACGGCUUACCAAGGCGACGAUGCGUAGCCGACCUGAGAGGGUGAUCGGCCACACUGGAACUGAGACACGGUCCAGACUCCUACGGGAGGCAGCUGUAGGGAAUCUUCCGCAAUGGGCGAAAGCCUGACGGAGCAACGCCGCGUGAGUGAUGAAGGUCUUCGGAUCGUAAAACUCUGUUAUUAGGGAAGAACAAAUGUGUAAGUAACUAUGCACGUCUUGACGGUACCUAAUCAGAAAGCCACGGCUAACUACGUG